rnacentral:rRNA from 1 species
CAAAAACAUCGCCUCCUGCAAAAAUCAACAUAUAGGAGGUCUUGCCUGCCCAGUGACUAAAAGUUAAACGGCCGCGGUAUUUUGACCGUGCAAAGGUAGCGCAAUCACUUGUCUUUUAAAUGAAGACCUGUAUGAAUGGUGGAACGAGGGCUUAACUGUCUCCCCCCUCUGGUCAAUGAAAUUGAUCUGCCCGUGCAGAAGCGGACAUGACUAUACAAGACGAGAAGACCCUUUGGAGCUUAAGAUAAAAGACCAACUACACCAAAAAGCUAUAAAAAAGACUAAACCAAGUAGUACUGGUCCCAAUCUUCGGUUGGGGCGACCACGAGAGAAAAUAAAGCUCCCACGCGGACUGGGGAAACCCCCCAAAACUAAGAGAGACAUCUCUAGUGCACAGAACAUCUGACCAAAAAGAUCCGGCUAUAUGCCGACCAACGGACCAAGUUACCCUAGGGAUAACAGCGCAAUCCUCUUCCAGAGUCCAUAUCGACAAGAGGGUUUACGACCUCGAUGUUGGAUCAGGAUAUCCUAAUGGUGCAGCCGCUAUUAAGGGUUC